CAUGAUUCACUGCUGCCCCAAGAUGGCGGCGCUAGGUAGUGGGAGGAGCUGGGUGAGGUGUCCCAAGGAAUCAGCCUUUCUGAGAGAGCACUGGAAGUCUGAGUUUAAAAUGAACCCUUCCCAGACCUUCCUGGGCUGCCUGAGGAUCAUGAGACCCGGACUGAGGCUUGAGACCUGAAGCUGCCGUCAUCCUUCUUGCAACUCAAGCUCCUACAGGAAGAAUUUAGAAGUCAUUUUGGAUUUCAUGUUGACUGAGAUGGUAAUGCCAACCACAAAACAGGGAUUUAUGGACAGCCAGACUCUGAAGGGUUGGGGUUUCCUUUGCAAGUCUUCCUUCAGUUCCUUCACAGGAACCAAAGAGGAUAUGUGCCGACCAUUAUGAUUGCUGGAGGAUAACACAGCCUAGCCAGUCACCCUGUAAUAUUGGAGAUUUCUUAAAGUGUAGCUUGGGGCAUGGGCCUGAGGGGCAGAGGGCCCACCUUGCCUGCUCCUCACUGGAGUUGAAUAUCCCUUCAUCACUGACUUUCUGAAGCUCCCUACCAGCAUCAGCAAAUGCUCCUGCCUAGUUGGGGCCAGGAAACCCUGAUUCUGAGGGAAGAAUCCAUACAUUUGACUCGAGGUCGGUGAGGGUUCCAGCUCCUUCUAUCAGAGCCACCUCUCAGUCACAGGAUGUUUGAAUAUUAGCCAUGCUCCUCCCAAAAUAAGUCUGCAAAUCUUGGGAAUGAAGGACUCCAGCUCCUUUCUCACCCCUGGUUGUCCUUCUAGUCAUGUGGAGAUGGAAAGCCUACUGGACACUCCCCAAUUCUCCACACUCUGAUUUGGUCUUUGUUGGCAGAACUCUUCCUGGCUGGGCUCACCAUUCCUGUCCUGAAGUUCAGCUGUGCUUCAGCAUGUGUGCGAGCUUCAGUGCUGUGCCUUCCCUCAUGUCCUCAUAAACUGCUUCCGUUCUACACAGGGAAGCAGCCCUUGAGACAGUGCAAAGUCAGUCUCUGUUUUGUGUAGAAGCCCUCAGCCUCCACCUAGUAUUUGUUAGUGUGUGCUGGCUUCAGGCUGUCUGGAGCUCUGUGACCUUGGGCUCCACCCAUUCUUGCCAGCAUUCAUUACUCUGGAGGUGGGGGGCUCUGUAGAUAACCAGGGACUGACAGGUGACAUUUUGCAGUGUCUGGAGACAUUUGAUGCUGUCAUAACUGGUGGAGGAGAUACACAGCAUGCUCAGGGUGUCUCAAGUGGAACUUGAGUGGAAUGUUUUCAGGUCUCUUGAACUGACUGAGAGCUGUGGUGCCUACUGGUGUCCAUCUCCAUGGCAGGCAUGAGCUGCCCAUCUUCUGGUGCUUAAGGGACAACAGAACCACCUCUCGAGCUGGUUCAUCAUGUGCAUCUAGAAGAAUCUUCUCCAUGUCUCCAUUGUUGGGAGUCCCAAAAGGAGACGCUCCCCCGCCUCCCCCAAUCUCCUAUUGUCUGGACCAUUGCCAUCGCUACAGUUGGUGGUUAACUUCAACUAGGGAGUGUUGAGAGUCACUGGUGUGGCCCAGGCUGCUCUUCCAUCAGACGUUCUACCCAGGAGUUCUGUCCCCGAGCAUCUUUUGUGCUCGUUUUUCAAGUUUUUGUUAUUGUUGGGCAGGGACAGCGGAGGCUCUGCUGAACAAGAGACGACACGAGAUGACUGGCGGAAGAACUGCAGUGGCUCCAGGGUGACCUUCAUAGUUAGCUUCGGCUGUCACCUUGACACAAACCCAGAAUCAGCUGGGAGGAGGGACCAGCAACUGAUAAUUGCCUCUCUCAGGCUGACCUGUUGCCAUGUCUGUGAAGCAUGUUCCUAAUUGCCUAUUGAUGGAGGAGGGCGUAGCCCACGGUGCCAUCUGUAGCCAGGUGGGCUUGGACUGUGUCCGGAAGAUAGCUGUGCAGGUCAAGGGAAACAGUCUAGUAGGCAUUCCGCCCCAAGUCCAGGUUCCUGCUUGAGUUCCUGCCUUGGCUUCCCUUGAUGAUGCAUUAUGACCUUGAAGAACCAAAACACCCCCAUCUCAAGCAAGCCCCUCACCCCAGCUUGAAACAGGCCUGAGUUUCAAAAUUCUCAC